GACAGAGGGUGCGAACGUUGUUCGGAAUUACUGGGCGUAAAGCGCGUGUAGGCUGUUCGGAAAGUCGGGUGUGAAAGCCCUGGGCUCAACCUAGGAAGUGCACUCGAAACUCCCGAACUGGAGUCCCGGAGAGGAAGGCGGAAUUCUCGGUGUAGAGGUGAAAUUCGUAGAUAUCAGGAGGAACACCGAUAGCGAAGGCAGCUCGCUGGGACGGUACUGACGCUGAGGCGCGAAAGCGUGGGGAGCGAACAGG
rnacentral:rRNA from 1 species